AGAAUGAAUGGCAUUCUCUAUUACAGCCUUCUCAUAUAUGUAAGCUGAACUGUUUUAGUUUUGUAAGGCUGACUGUAUAAAUAUAAUUCUUUAUCUACCAGAAGUUUGUGAAAAUAUCUGAAUGUCAUAUCUGUAGAAGGCAUCCUCUCUUGAUUUCACAGUGCCAUGAAUUUAUUCUUUUUUGUCUCCCUUCACUGUUAUUUCAAAGGGAUUUUGGAAGGGAGAAGAGGAAUAUGUAUGCUUUGUAUGGCAUUAUUGAACCAGAAGUUAACUAUAAAAUCUUAAAGUACUAUAUAUCUGCAUUUCUAUAUGUGGUUUAUAUUUAUAAAGAAACAUUGUAUAUGUUGUUUCUGAAUCUUUUGAACAAUCUUGACACUUAGAUGUGACUUGCCUUGUCUUUUCUGAAUCCUGGGCCUUUCAUUUAUACAUUAGAGAUGCCGCUGCUACUCCUUAUAUCACAGCUUUUUAAGAUAAAAAGAGACCAAAUAUGUAAUGCAACUAUAGCACCUAGAACAUAGUAGAUGCUCUGAAAAUAUUCAUUUGUUUUUGUCCAGUGCUAAGUCCUAUAGCAUUUUUAGGUCUCUGGCAACUAUGCGCUUAGCAUAGUUUACUAUUACGGUGACUGCAAUGCCCACUUACCCGCCCCCCCUUCCUGAAGUGCUUUUGUAUAUAGCUCCCUAUGCCACCAGCUUAUUUUUAGGUCACUGGUUUGUAAAAUUCCUCUCAUAAGGAUUCUCUUACAUUAAAAAAUUAUUAAAAUCUUGAGAUUAGUUUCUGCAUGACACUGUUUAAUAGAAUGAUAUGCUUGAAGGAUUUUUUUUCUCUAUAGAGAUACAUCCCUUUCAGCUGAUUAAAUGUGUUAUUUGUGGCCAAUGAAUAUAGGAAAAAAAUUCUCUCUUUUAAUGUUGUUUCGUAGGCUAAUGAGAUUGAUUCUUAUAGUAUUAAUGUGCAGGGAUUUUUCAAGAUGGAGAAUUGUCAA
rnacentral:lncRNA from 1 species